rnacentral:rRNA from 1 species
GACGAACGCUGGCGGCGUGCUUAACACAUGCAAGUCGAACGGAAAGGCCCUGCUUGCAGGGUACUCGAGUGGCGAACGGGUGAGUAACACGUGGGUGAUCUGCCCUGCACUUCGGGAUAAGCCUGGGAAACUGGGUCUAAUACCGGAUAUGACCUUCCAUGUAGUGUGGGGGGUGGAAAGAUUUAUCGGUGUGGGAUGAGCCCGCGGCCUAUCGGCUUGUUGGUGGGGUAAUGGCCUACCAAGGCGUCGACGGGUAGCCGGCCUGAGAGGGUGGACGGCCACAUUGGGACUGAGAUACGGCCCAGACUCCUACGGGAGGCAGCAGUGGGGAAUAUUGCACAAUGGGCGGAAGCCUUAUGCAGCGACGCCGCGUGGGGGAUGACGGCCUUCGGGUUGUAAACCUCUUUCGACAGGGACGAAGCUUCGGUGACGGUACCUGUAUAAGAAGCACCGGCUAACUACGU